GUCAAGAUGAUCAAAGGAGAGGCAGACUCACAGAGACUGUUAGAGACUCUCCAGGCUCUCCACACUACAGUGAGGAUUUUGAAGAAGAGGAGAAUGAAAAAGAGAAGUCUAAAAUGUCUCCAAUUCUUGCUAAAGUUUCUCUGUAUGAUUCCCUGGAUG